CAUCUCUUCUCCUCGACCCUCGCCGGCGCAUGCGACCCGCCUCCGCGCCGUGAAAGCACCGCCGCCUCUGGCGUUCUGUCGCCCGGAGGCCAACUCCAUCUCCGCCGUACUCUGGGGAUCCUUCACCCUGCGGAAUCCGACCCACGGCGCCGCGCUCCGGGAAGACGUCCAUCCCCGGCCUGGGCACGCCUCCAUCGGCGACCUCCUGCUCCGGCGCCCAUCCGGACAAGGAAGGCGCUUCAAUUCACCCAGCCACCACGACACUCUCCUCCUCCUCCGACCGGCUGCUGCUGCUGACCGGACCCCUUCCGGCGCCCUCCACGAGCCGGUGAGGCUUUUGGUGCCAAGGCUGCGUGGGAGCAGUCUGUAAGAGGCAAAUGUUCACCUACAGCAGCUGCUAUUUGUUAUUUGAUGGGAGCGGUGACCUCAGCGGGGACAUUCUGCAGCAGCAACGCAAUGAGUUGCAGCAGGUCGAGCUCGACAUACGCCCACCCAAUGAUCAUCUAGGUGCACCACAGGUCCAGGGCGGCUGCCAGAGAGCAUCUUCUAGCAGCUGAAAAGCUCGAGGGCUGUCAAAAAUUUGCCUUAUUUGUCCUCUUUGUAUUUCGGGCUUUUGGUGCCAAGGCUGCGUGGGAGCGGUGGAGGGCCAUGGGGACCUACUGUAAGAGGCAAAUGUUCAUCUACGGCAGCAGCUAUUUGUUAUUUGAUGGGAGCGGUGGCCUCAUCGGGGACAUUCUGCAGCAGCAACGGAGUGAGUUGCAGCAGGUCGAGAUCGACAUACGCCCACCCAAAGAUCAUCUAGGUGCACCACAGGUCCGGGGCGGCUGCAGACGCCCACUUCGACGACCUCAACCUUGCUGUUUAGGUCCUCGUCGACAUCAGCCUCCACAGGUCCUCCUGAAUCAUUGCUUGAUUGGACUCGUGGAACGAGAUGGGAAUAUGUGGUCUGCUCAUUUUUAGGAGCUCCAGGAUAUUGAAGUAGAUGGUUGUGGACAUGAACAGGAGGUCGUGAUAUCCUCAACCAUUCAUGCUCAAUACUUGCGCCCAAUUCAUAGGAUGUUGGAGUGGUCAUGGUUUCACGUGUAUUUAAUCUCUUCUAGUAACAUUUUGAACAUAUUAUUCGAUAGAGGCUGAAGAAACAAGGGGGGGCGUGACUUGGACUGUUUUAAAAUUACUUACUAUUUUUUUCUAUUAUAGAACAUUCAUGAUAAACCUGUUGUGGUUUUGUUCCAAAAAAAUCUGAACUCUUCAAGUUUGUCCACUCGACACACCUCAUGAGAAUCUGGUGAUUUUUCUGUUUAACGCUUUGUACGUUUGUGCAAUCAUAACCUGGUAGAACAUUAAUUGUUAUAAAAUGGCAACUACUUUAUCCUUGGUUAUAAAAGGACAACUAACUUGUCUUUGGUUAGGCGUAGUCAUGUUUUGUUUGUUGAUCAUUCCCUCCAUAUAUGCUUUCUGUUCUUCCAGUGCUUAAUUGAUUGUUCUAUUCUUGCUGUUGGUAGGUCAUCCAAAACCUUUGCAUGAUUGGUCUUGUGGAAACAAUACAGGAAUAUAUGACCAGCGAAGCCCUUCCCAAGUUCUCCGUAGAGGACCCUUGUCAAAUGCCAGAAUGGCAUGGAGUCAGUGGGAUGGAUUGCCUGUCGGAUCUAGAGAACUGCUCGCUGCUGGCUUUAUAGCUAUCAAAUCAAUGAUGUAGUGGAUAUAAUUGACGACGGAGGAUCAAUGUUGGACUAUGGCUGGGAGUCGAUGACUCCUCCCCUCCCUGGCGCAGUGGCACCACGUUGACAUGUCGUCCCAACAUCCAUCUCAGGAGAAGGAAAUAGUUCAGCUUAAACAAGAGGCAUGAUGAAGGGUGGGAUCUAUGUUGUUGGAAUAUACUAAGCUGCUGUUCAUUCCGUUGUGAAGAGAACCCUGGAAUCCAAUAUGGUAGAACCUUUUCACUGUUGUUCACUUUCCUUUUGGGUUUUGAAAGGCGACAACAUUGGACCUCUGGUACGUGUGUGUUGGAGGCUCUUUCUCGGUUACUUGACUCGGCCAAAUAGGCUAGCGCGUCGAGUACUAAGUUGCAGGAGCAUGGCAGCUGGACCACAGGAGCUGUCCGAGGUGGCCCGGGGGAAGGUGGGAAGACCUAGGGGACAAGGAUACAUGCGCCUUGGGUUGUCGAGCUAUCCCUCUGCAGCAUCUUUUCUUUCUAGCUCCUUAAUUAAGUCUGCCGUGUAUAUAUGGUUGCGAUCCGUGAGAAUUCGAGGUUUCAGAUUUGAAAGGAUUUUGUAGCACAACAAUAUGUAUUGUAGUAACUAGCGAGGAUUGAUUGAUUGUGGAAAACUUUGAUGUUGUGCGUCAGUUAUUUUGUUCUGUCUUGUGAAUAUAUUAUGUGAAAGUAAAUCACUUGCUGACU